GAUGAAGAACGCAGCGAAAUGCGAUAAGUAAUGCGAAUUGCAGAAUUCAGUGAAUCAUCGAGUCUUUGAACGCACAUUGCGCCCCCUGGUAUUCCGGGGGGCAUGCCUGUCCGAGCGUCAUUGCUGCCCUAAAGCACGGCUUGUGUGUUGGGCCUCCGUCCUCCUCCCGGGGGACGGGCCCGAAAGGCAGCGGCGGCACCGCGUCCGGUCCUCGAGCGUAUGGGGCUUCGUCACCCGCUCUUGUAGGCCCGGCCGGCGCUUGCCGACACAUCAAUCUUUUUUCCAGGUUGACCUCGGAUCAGGUAGGGAUACCCGCUGAACUUAAGCAUAUCAAUAAGCGGAGGA
rnacentral:misc_RNA from 1 species